rnacentral:rRNA from 1 species
GACGAACGCUGGCGGCGUGCCUAACACAUGCCAGUCGAGCGGAAAGGCCCUUUGGGGUACUCGAGCGGCGAACGGGUGAGUAACACGCGAGCAACCUGCCCUAGGCUUUGGGAUAACCCUCGGAAACGGGGGCUAAUACCGGAUAGGACCUCCUGCCGCAUGGUGGGGGUGGAAAGGUUUUCGGCUUGGGAUGGGCCCGCGGCCUAUCAGCUUGUUGGUGGGGUGGUGGCCUACCAAGGCGGUGACGGGUAGCCGGCCUGAGAGGGCGACCGGCCACACGCGGACUGAGACACGGCCCAGAGUCCGACGGGGGGCAGCAGUGGGGAAUAUUGCACAAUGGGCGGAAGCCUGAUGCAGCGACGCCGCGGGGGGGAUGACGGCCUUCGGGUUGUAAACCUCUUGCAGCAGGGACGAAGCGUGAGUGACGGUACCUGCAGAAGAAGCGCCGGCAAACUACGUGCCAGCCGCCGCCGUAACAC